CCUACGGGAGGCAGCAGUGAGGAAUAUUGGUCAAUGGGCGCGAGCCUGAACCAGCCAAGUCGCGUGAGGGAAGACGGUCCUAUGGAUUGUAAACCUCUUUUGUCGGGGAGCAAAAGACGCCACGCGUGGCGUUCCGCGAGUACCCGAAGAAAAAGCAUCGGCUAACUCCGUGCCAGCAGCCGCGGUAAUACGGAGGAUGCGAGCGUUAUCCGGAUUUAUUGGGUUUAAAGGGUGCGCAGGCGGAAUAUCAAGUCAGCGGUAAAAUUGAGAGGCUCAACCUCUUCGAGCCGUUGAAACUGGUUGUCUUGAGUGAGCGAGAGGUAUGCGGAAUGCGUGGUGUAGCGGUGAAAUGCAUAGAUAUCACGAAGAACUCCGAUUGCGAAGGCAGCAUACCGGCGCUCAACUGACGCUCAUGCACGAAAGUGUGGGUAUCGAACAGGAUUAGAUACCCGGGUAGUC
rnacentral:rRNA from 1 species